rnacentral:rRNA from 1 species
UACAGAGGGUGCAAGCGUUAAUCGGAAUUACUGGGCGUAAAGCGUGCGCAGGCGGUUUCUUAAGUCAGAUGUGAAAGCCCCGGGCUUAACCUGGGAACUGCGUUUGAAACUGGGAGACUUGAGUGUGGCAGAGGGGGGUGGAAUUCCACGUGUAGCAGUGAAAUGCGUAGAUAUGUGGAGGAACACCGAUGGCGAAGGCAGCCCCCUGGGUCAACACUGACGCUCAUGCACGAAAGCGUGGGGAGCAAACAGG